rnacentral:rRNA from 1 species
UACGUAGGGUGCAAGCGUUGUCCGGAAUUAUUGGGCGUAAAGAGCUCGUAGGCGGUUUGUCGCGUCUGGUGUGAAAAUCCAGGGCUUAACCCUGGACCUGCAUCGGGUACGGGCAUACUAGAGUGCGGUAGGGGAGAUCGGAAUUCCUGGUGUAGCGGUGAAAUGCGCAGAUAUCAGGAGGAACACCGGUGGCGAAGGCGGAUCUCUGGGCCGUAACUGACGCUGAGGAGCGAAAGCAUGGGGAGCGAACAGG